ACUCUGAGCGUGAGCAAGAUUGAGAAGGGAAAACGGAAUAAUUACUGGACACAAAACUAGUCCAUCCCAGCACUGCUAUGGAAAUCAGUAUGUAAGAGGCAAACAAAUUGCAUCCGCCAUGGCUAAAGGUGGAAAUAGGAGGCCUGGAAAGUAUUCCCUCACGUUCUUCAGUCUGCCCACACGACAGGAAAGUUCCUCACACUGCACUCUCAAAACCAUUUAUCUGGAGUGACUCUCAUUUUACAAAUGAGGAAACUGGUAGAGAAUCUGAUGUCAGAAACAGCGCACGCCACGGUAUCAUGUGACUCUUCCAACCUAUAAAUGGCUCUGUCACCAUCCUGUCUUUGUGUCCAUCAGUGAAACUCUUGAUCAUCUACCCUUCAUGAGAGGACAUGACCUGAAGAAGAUCGCCACUCAGGAGCCAGGAAAGGGAUUCACAGCUGUGAAGAUUGCCUUGAAUCUUCGAAGAGCCUAGCUUCUGAGCAGUUUAAGGCCAUUAUGACUAUGGGGAUUCUUGAAGUAGACUAGUACAUUUUGCAAUAUAAUCUGGCCUUAAUCCUAUGGGUUACAGGAGUGGAAGGUUAUGUUUUGAAAGUUAAGUGUUCCCUGAAGGUUCUGUUUUACACAUUUGCUUCCCAGCUUGUGGUACAGUUCUGAAAGUGGUAAAGCCUUUAGGAAGUGAAACCUGGCUGACAGAAGUCAGCCUUUAGGGGAAGGUGCCUGAAGCUUAGACACACCUCUGAUUAGGGCUUGUAGCCUCUGCUUCCUGGUCUGGAGCAUGUGAACAAGUCACUGCCAGAGGCUCCCACUGUCAGAAAUGAACCCCUUCUAUCAAGCCUUCUAGGCUAGUGUGGACCAAAAUCUCUGAAACCGUAAGACAAAAGACAUUCCCUUAAGUUGUUUCUGUUAAGUAAUUUGACAUUAUGAAUAAAAUAAUGAACAUGAAGAAAUACAAAGAGGCUGUUGGUGAUAGAGCAGAGAUUGUAUUUUUGUAAGCUGCUCACACAUGUGUCUGAAUCUUCUUACAGUGCAAUGGUUACGAGAUGACUACAGAGGCUUCGGGCUAAGGACUUGUCCACCUACUCCUGCCAUGAUCCAGCACAACAGUCUAAAGACUCUGAAACAAGCAAGUUGAAAUCCACCAUACAGCUCUUUGUAAAGGCAUGUUUGUGUGAGCAAUGGAUAAAACCAAUUUAACAUGAGUUUUCUCAUUAAGUUUAUAAUAUCUAAAAAUGCAGAACUGUGGCAUAUUGGCCUUCAUUUGUUCGCAGGGCUCUGAGAAUGCGAGGGCUAGGAUUGCCUGGGACUGGUUGUAUGUAUAAAAGGUAUGGACUCAAAGCUUGGGAAUUUGGUCUCUUGUAGACAAUUGGAUGUUCCCGAAGAUGACUUAGCUGGUCUCUGAGAAGGAUGGUCAGGAUCGAGCAUGAGUGGAGCUGAUGCCAGUUCUCUCUGGGACUCAUUUGUUUCCCUCCCUUAAACACUGUGUCUCUAAGUGUUUCUCACAAUCUAUUUUGAAUGGGUAGAACUGGGAGUAGUGAAGAGUCUUCAGAGCCAGUGAGAUGAAGAAACAAUCAACACAGUUUUUACACUUAAAAUCAGGACGAUAAUACUGGAGCAUAAAAUGACAUAUAAGCCCUGCUACCCACCUCAUUAAGAGAGAGCAAUACAAGUGUGUCAUGCAUGUAAGCUAUGGUCCUAGCGCAUGGCAUGUAUUACUAAAGUCCAAUCAAGGGUCCUCCUUUCUCUGCUUUGAUUAAAUGAAACACACACUUCCAUUUCAUUGCUUUGGAUAGUUUACAAAUGAUUGGUAUCAUAUUUAAUAUAACCUUGUUAUAAUAUAUAAUUAUUAAUUAAUAUAUAUUAUUGGUAUAAUAUAAUAUUUAAUGUGAUGUCUAGGAACAUUAUAUGAAUUUCUCAGAAGCAGCUUUGAAAGAACUAUGCUUUCAGUCUAUAGAAGUACUGGGUCAUAAGCACCUUAACCUUACUCAGUCACCAGCACUGACAGCCAAAUGCUGAGCUGCCUUGAGAUGUGAGUGCCACUGCUCUAGUAUCGCCUCCAACCGAGCAACAUCGACUUCAUCUCAGUUAUUUUGAUUUAUUGCCACAAUUACCUGUACUGAGUUCAAUGCCAUGCUAAUACUUGGGCUGAUGAAUUAUAAUAUGGACUUCAUUUUAUCGAAAUGUCACGUGUUCUAAUGUCCUGAUUUUUUUUUUUCUUGGCAGACAGUAGCAUCGCACUCAGUUUUAUGUGUUAACCUUGUUAGGUUUUAGUUUCCAGUCACUCAGUUUAAUGUUAGUCCAUAGGUUGCUGUGAAUGUAACUUGGAGAUAAGGCUACUGUCUAUAAAAGGCAUUAUCUUUGAUGAUGAUUUCAAUGGACCUCACCAAAUCAAUUGGUACAACUCAAGAGCAAAGCUGAGUUUCCAUUGGGGAAGAAGAAAUUGUCCUACAAAGCAACAUGCCAUGUUGGUUGCGAAUUUCUCUCUUUUGACCAGUCCUAUGAUAUGGCUAUGUCCUAUGUCAGGCUUGCUAGUUGCUAUGAUAACCAUGCAAAAUAUAUGUAAAUAUAAACAGACAUGGGGCUAGAGAUAGCUCAGCAGUAGGAGUAGUUGUUGCUCUUGCAAAGGACUAAGUUUCCAGUACCCAUAGGGUAUUUCAUAACUAUGCUAAACCCUAGUUUCAGGGCAUCCAGUGACCUCUUCUAACCUCCACAACCAUGCAGGUAAAAUGCUCAUACAUAUAAAACAAUCUAUAAUACAUUUAAAAAAUAUGCAGAGAUAUUAUGUAUAUGUCAUAUAUAUGUAUAUGCCAAUGUAUAAUUUUGUAGUAGAAUUUUGCAUGAUACAGAAUUUGGUGUUAAGAGUAGUUCUAGAGAACGACUAAAUAAAGGAGUUGACUCUUGAA
rnacentral:lncRNA from 1 species